rnacentral:rRNA from 1 species
UAGGGAAUCUUCGGCAAUGGGGGCAACCCUGACCGAGCAACGCCGCGUGAGUGAAGAAGGUUUUCGGAUCGUAAAGCUCUGUUGUAAGAGAAGAACGAGUGUGAGAGUGGAAAGUUCACACUGUGACGGUAUCUUACCAGAAAGGGACGGCUAACUACGUGCCAGCAGCCGCGGUAAUACGUAGGUCCCGAGCGUUAUCCGGAUUUAUUGGGCGUAAAGCGAGCGCAGGCGGUUAGAUAAGUCUGAAGUUAAAGGCCGUGGCUUAACCAUAGUACGCUUUGGAAACUGUUUAACUUGAGUGCAGAAGGGGAGAGUGGAAUUCCAUGUGUAGCGGUGAAAUGCGUAGAUAUAUGGAGGAACACCGGUGGCGAAAGCGGCUCUCUGGUCUGUAACUGACGCUGAGGCUCGAAAGCGUGGGGAGCAAACAGGAUUAGAUACCCUGGUAGUCCACGCCGUAAACGAUGAGUGCUAGGUGUUGGGUCCUUUCCGGGACUCAGUGCCGCAGCUAACGCAUUAAGCACUCCGCCUGGGGAGUACGACCGCAAGGUUG